UACGUAGGGGGCAAGCGUUGUCCGGAUUUAUUGGGCGUAAAGCGCGUGUAGGCGGCUGGGUAGGUCCGCUGUGAAAACUCGAGGCUCAACCUCGAGAGGUCGGUGGAAACCAUCCAGCUAGAGUCCGGAAGAGGAGAAUGGAAUUCCUGGUGUAGCGGUGAAAUGCGCAGAUAUCAGGAGGAACACCGGUGGCGAAGGCGGGUCUCUGGGCCGAUACUGACGCUGAGGAGCGAAAGCGUGGGGAGCGAACAGG
rnacentral:rRNA from 1 species